CGCUCGUCACAAGCCCCGUCACGAUCGUCACGCCCUGGUUGUGACGAACGCCACAGGCCCACCACGAACGUCACAAAGGCAAAGGCAGCGUAAGAAAUUUUCAAACAGAAGUGAUCCACACUCCCUAUUUUUCGCUCCUUAACCCACUUUCCCGUGAAUCUCUCACUCAACCAAGUCACCCUUAUUUCUCUCAACUACGAAGACCAAAUGGGUACUAUAAAAGGAUGGAAGUUGGAAACCUACAACACGCUUUUUUUCUCCUCUCUGAAGCCAACCCUCAAGUGUAAUACCCCAAAAUUUG
rnacentral:lncRNA from 1 species